rnacentral:rRNA from 1 species
AACGAACGCUGGCGGCAUGCCUAACACAUGCAAGUCGAACGAGACCUUCGGGUCUAGUGGCGCACGGGUGCGUAACGCGUGGGAAUCUGCCCUUGGGUUCGGAAUAACAGUGAGAAAUUACUGCUAAUACCGGAUGAUGUCUUCGGACCAAAGAUUUAUCGCCCAAGGAUGAGCCCGCGUAGGAUUAGGUAGUUGGUGGG